AAUGGUUCUUCCAACUGCAAAAACGUUCCUGGAUCUUAUACAUGUACUGGCAGUUCUGACACUGGUAACGUGUAUGUUAUCAUAGGAGCGGUUGUAGGCUCAGUGUGUUUACUCGUAUGUCUCGUGGUUGGUCUUCUAGUUAUUAUAAGGAAAUCCCGGAAGUGUACAACCUCAGUCGCUAGUCAACAUCAUCAGGAAGACAGGGAACAAGAGCAUCAUUAACAGUGAAGCAGGGACAACUGUAAACAAUAUCUAAAUGAAGAACAUCAAUAACUCAAAUAAAGUAUUAUUAUAAACAGUACUGAAGAAAAAAAUUCUGAAGAAGAAGCGUUAUAAUCAGAGUAGCAUUUUAAAACAAACAUAAUAACAGAGUAAUUAGAUAAGAUAUGACAAUGGUGACAAUAUCAAAAUCUGAAAAUUAGUGACCGACCACUGCAUCACAUUUUGAACUUUUGUAUAUUUUAAAAGAAAAUGGAUUUAUGAGUUCAUCAAAAUUCUGCUCUUUAAACAUUUUUAAUGACACAAGAUAUUCAUAAACGAACACUAUUAAGUGUUGAGAAUUGUGUACCGCAUAAGCCGGUGCUAGGGGGCGUGAGGGUUUUUGCACGUAUUCA